rnacentral:rRNA from 1 species
ACUACGGGUGGCUGCAGUGGGGAAUAUUGCGCAAUGGGCGCAAGCCUGACCCAGCAACGCCGCGUGAGGGAAGAAGGCUUUCGGGUUGUAAAGUUCUUUUCUCAGGGACGAAGACAGUGACGGUAGCUGAGGAAUAAGCCACGGCUAACUACGUGCCAGCAGCCGCGGUAAGAAGUAGGUGACAAGCGUUAUCAGGAUUUACUGGGUGUAAAGGGUGUUUAGGCGGUGAUUCAAGUCAGAUGUGAAACCCACGGGCUCAACCGGGGGACUGUAUUUGAAACGGUAGUUCUGGAGUGCUGGGGAGGCAGACGGAAUUCCUAGUGUAGCGGUGAAAUGCGUAGAUAUUAGGAGGAACACCAGUGGCGAAGGCGGUCUGCUGGACAGUAACUGACGUUGAGGCGCGAAAGCGUGGGGAGCAAACAGGAUUAGAUACCCCUGUAGUC